UACGGGGGGAGCAAGCGUUGUUCGGAUUUACUGGGCGUAAAGGGCGCGUAGGCGGCCACCGCAAGUCGACUGUGAAAUCUCCGGGCUUAACUCGGAAAGGUCAGCCGAUACUGCGGGGCUAGAGUGCAGAAGGGGCAACUGGAAUUCUCGGUGUAGCGGUGAAAUGCGUAGAUAUCGAGAGGAACACCUGCGGCGAAGGCGGGUUGCUGGGCCGACACUGACGCUGAUGCGCGAAAGCCAGGGGAGCGAACGGG
rnacentral:rRNA from 1 species